rnacentral:rRNA from 1 species
AUUGAACGCUGGCGGCAUGCCCUACACAUGCAAGUCGAACGGCAGCACGGGGCAACCUGGUGGCGAGUGGCGAACGGGUGAGUAAUGCAUCGGAACGUGCCAUUGAGUGGGGGAUAACGUAGCGAAAGUUGCGCUAAUACCGCAUAUUCUGUGAGCAGGAAAGCAGGGGACCGCAAGGCCUUGCGCUCUUUGAGCGGCCGAUGUCAGAUUAGCUAGUUGGUGAGGUAACGGCUUACCAAGGCGACGAUCUGUAGCGGGUCUGAGAGGAUGAUCCGCCACACUGGAACUGAGACACGGUCCAGACUCCUACGGGAGGCAGCAGUGGGGAAUUUUGGACAAUGGGCGCAAGCCUGAUCCAGCCAUGCCGCGUGAGUGAAGAAGGCCUUCGGGUUGUAAAGCUCUUUUCGGUACCGGAAAGGAAAUACGCGCAGGCUAAUACCCU